CGCGGGGUGGAGCAGUUUGGUAGCUCGUUGGGCUCAUAACCCAAAGGUCGUUGGUUCAAAUCCAGCCCCCGCAA
rnacentral:tRNA from 2 species